GAUUCAGGAUGGGGUCAUGAGGGGUUCCUCAGUGGGUUGCACCCAUAAGCUGAAAAAUCAGUAGGAUUCAGCAGCAGUCUGCAGUGGAAGGAAGGAAUUACUCCUUCCCCCUGUUUUGAUCUCCCAUCCUUCAUGCGCAUCACUCACUCCCAUAGCAGCUCCUUAGUCCCUCCUCCCCAGCACACAAAGGGCUCAGAUACAGUGCCUGAAGGGGCAGAACAGCCAACUUCGCAGCCUCUCAGAGCAGCACGUCUCCUGCCCUGGAGCAGAGCAUUGCACAGGCACAGGAUAAGGAGAGGAGAGAGAAUCACCGCCCCCCACAACCUCUGCCCCAGAUGGUCUCCACAGUACCUUUCUGGAUCCACAAUCAACAGCAGAAACAUUGUUCUGUGACUCAACCUCACAUUCCUUUGCAGCUGCAAAUAUGGUGGGAUGCUUGAGGAUUUUUCAGCCAUUUGAUGAGUUGUGGGUAGAAACAAAGAGUUAAGAACCUCAGCUGGCUCCGCCUCGCUUCUACUGAGAAACUGAGCUGGAGAGUGAUUUAAUCAUGGUCGCCGGUUCUUCACUGGAUCCCUGCCCAGGAUGACUGCUGUAACUCUUAAGACUGAUCUGGGGAGAAGGACUGGAACCAGGCUGAAAAAGGUCAGCCUGUGAAGGGAAUACCUGGAGAUUUAAGUUGCAAGCAGUGCAGUUUACCUUCAAGAAACUCUGUAACCUGCAUAAACAACAUUUAGAGUACAAUAAGGUUAAGUACCACAUUGGAAGUAUGAUUGGUGGUUGGGAUGAUGUGCAUAGGCGGCUGGGAACCAAAACUGUCUAGACCAGAAGUGGGAGAUCAGAAUGACCUGUGCUCUGUCCUGCCGGAUUUAGCGUUGAACUCAUGGUAGGAGUGAUAACGGAGGAAAGGCAGAGUUGAACUGAUCUGAUCAAGGAAGAAGCAGAGCGUCAACCUGGAAGGGGCAACUGAAGGCUCCUCUGGAGCAAUAUGUGGUGCAUUUCCUGUUUGCUUGAGAUAUGAACAGAUCCCUGGUUGGGGUUCCCUAUGUUUUUUAAUUUGGGGUAUACAUUUAAGUUGAUCCUCUAUUAUGGUGUCUUUAAAAAGCUUCCAUGCAACUUGCAGGGAUUUCACUUUUGGCACUGUACC